GCAGUCGAACGAACUCUGGUAUUGAUUGGUGCUUGCAUCAUGAUUUACAUUUGAGUGAGUGGCGAACUGGUGAGUAACACGUGGGAAACCUGCCCAGAAGCGGGGGAUAACACCUGGAAACAGAUGCUAAUACCGCAUAACAACUUGGACCGCAUGGUCCGAGUUUGAAAGAUGGCUUCGGCUAUCACUUUUGGAUGGUCCCGCGGCGUAUUAGCUAGAUGGUGAGGUAACGGCUCACCAUGGCAAUGAUACGUAGCCGACCUGAGAGGGUAAUCGGCCACAUUGGGACUGAGACACGGCCCAAACUCCUACGGGAGGCAGCAGUAGGGAAUCUUCCACAAUGGACGAAAGUCUGAUGGAGCAACGCCGCGUGAGUGAAGAAGGGUUUCGGCUCGUAAAACUCUGUUGUUAAAGAAGAACAUAUCUGAGAGUAACUGUUCAGGUAUUGACGGUAUUUAACCAGAAAGCCACGGCUAACUACGUGCCAGCAGCCGCGGUAAUACGUAGGUGGCAAGCGUUGUCCGGAUUUAUUGGGCGUAAAGCGAGCGCAGGCGGUUUUUUAAGUCUGAUGUGAAAGCCUUCGGCUCAACCGAAGAAGUGCAUCGGAAACUGGGAAACUUGAGUGCAGAAGAGGACAGUGGAACUCCAUGUGUAGCGGUGAAAUGCGUAGAUAUAUGGAAGAACACCAGUGGCGAAGGCGGCUGUCUGGUCUGUAACUGACGCUGAGGCUCGAAAGUAUGGGUAGCAAACAGGAUUAGAUACCCUGGUAGUCCAUACCGUAAACGAUGAAUGCUAAGUGUUGGAGGGUUUCCGCCCUUCAGUGCUGCAGCUAACGCAUUAAGCAUUCCGCCUGGGGAGUACGGCCGCAAGGCUGAAACUCAAAGGAAUUGACGGGGGCCCGCACAAGCGGUGGAGCAUGUGGUUUAAUUCGAAGCUACGCGAAGAACCUUACCAGGUCUUGACAUACUAUGCAAAUCUAAGAGAUUAGACGUUCCCUUCGGGGACAUGGAUACAGGUGGUGCAUGGUUGUCGUCAGCUCGUGUCGUGAGAUGUUGGGUUAAGUCCCGCAACGAGCGCAACCCUUAUUAUCAGUUGCCAGCAUUAAGUUGGGCACUCUGGUGAGACUGCCGGUGACAAACCGGAGGAAGGUGGGGAUGACGUCAAAUCAUCAUGCCCCUUAUGACCUGGGCUACACACGUGCUACAAUGGAUGGUACAACGAGUUGCGAACUCGCGAGAGUAAGCUAAUCUCUUAAAGCCAUUCUCAGUUCGGAUUGUAGGCUGCAACUCGCCUACAUGAAGUCGGAAUCGCUAGUAAUCGCGGAUCAGCAUGCCGCGGUGAAUACGUUCCCGGGCCUUGUACACACCGCCCGUCACACCAUGAGAGUUUGUAACACCCAAAGUCGGUGGGGUAACCUUUUAGGAACCAGC
rnacentral:rRNA from 1 species